CGAACGUUAGCGGCGGGCCUAACACAUGCAAGUCGAACGAGAACGCUCCUUCGGGAGUUAUUAAAGUGGCGCACGGGUGAGGAACGCGUAGGUAAUCUACCCUUUGGCGGGGGACAACAUUCCGAAAGGAAUGCUAAUACCGCGUAAGACCACACUCACUACGGUGAGAGCGGUUAAAGGUGCCUCAAAGCACCACCAAAGGAUGAGCCUGCGUCCCAUCAGCUUGUUGGUAAGGUAAUGGCUUACCAAGGCGAAGACGGGUAGCUGGUCUGAGAGGAUGAUCAGCCACACUGGCACUGGAACACGGGCCAGACUCCUACGGGAGGCAGCAGUGAGGAAUAUUGGGCAAUGGGCGAAAGCCUGACAGCCACGCCGCGUGUGUGAUGAAGGCCUUCGGGUCGUAAAGCACUGUGGGGAGAGACGAAAAAGCGCAUCAGGAAAUGGUUGCGCCUUGACGGUACCUCCUUAGCAAGCACCGGCUAACUCU
rnacentral:rRNA from 1 species